UACGAAGGGUGCAAGCGUUACUCGGAAUUACUGGGCGUAAAGCGUGCGUAGGUGGUUGUUUAAGUCUACUGUGAAAGCCCUGGGCUCAACCUGGGAAUUGCAGUGGAUACUGGGCGACUAGAGUGUGGUAGAGGAUAGUGGAAUUUCCGGUGUAGCAGUGAAAUGCGUAGAGAUCGGAAGGAACAUCUGUGGCGAAGGCGACUAUCUGGGCCAACACUGACACUGAGGCACGAAAGCGUGGGGAGCAAACAGG
rnacentral:rRNA from 1 species